UGAGGAAUAUUGGUCAAUGGGCGCAAGCCUGAACCAGCCAUCCCGCGUGAAGGAUGAAGGCCCUAUGGGUCGUAAACUUCUUUUAUAUGCCAAGAAAGGUGCCCACGUGUGGGUAUUUGACGGUAGUAUAUGAAUAAGCAUCGGCUAACUCCGUGCCAGCAGCCGCGGUAAUACGGAGGAUGCGAGCGUUAUCCGGAUUCAUUGGGUUUAAAGGGUGCGUAGGCGGUUCUUUAAGUCAGUGGUGAAAUCCUGCGGCUCAACCGUAGAACAGCCAUUGAUACUGAAGGACUUGAAUAUAAUUGAGGUAAGCGGAAUGAGUAGUGUAGCGGUGAAAUGCUUAGAUAUUACUCAGAACACCAAUUGCGAAGGCAGCUUACCAAGCUAUAAUUGACGCUGAGGCACGAAAGCGUGGGGAUCGAACA
rnacentral:rRNA from 1 species